AUGGUGGCCACCGAGGGGGUCGGGAGGCUGCGCAAGGCGGCGAGCCUGGGCAGCUGGAGCAGCCUCCGCCCUAGCAGCAUCCACCCUGCCCCAGCAGCAGCACGAGGAAGAGAUGGCAGCCGAGGCUGGGGAAGCCGUGACUUCCCCCAUGGACGACGGGUUUCUGAGCCUAGACUCGCCCUCCUACCUCCUGUGCAGGGACAGAGCAGAAUGGGCUGAUAUAGAUCCAGUGCUGCAGAAUGAUGGCCCCAAUCCCGUGGUCCAGAUCAUUUAUAGUGACAAAUUUAGAGAUGUUUAUGAUUACUUCCGAGCUGUCCUGCAGCAUGAUGAAAGAAGCAAACGAACUUUUAAGCUAACCUGGGAUGCUACUGAGUUAAAUGCAGCCAAUUAUACAGUGUGGCAUUUCUGGAGAGUCCUCUUAAAGUCACUUCAGAAGGAUCUACAUGAGGAAAUGAACUACAUCACUGCAAUAAUUGAGGGGCAGCCCCAAAACUAUCAAGCUGGGCAUCAUAGGCGACUAUUAGUGGAAUGGCUAAGAGAUCCAUCUCAGGAGCCUGAAUUUUUGCUAAUAUUCUUAAUCAGGAUGCAAAGAAUUAUCAUGCCUGGCGGCAUCGACAAUGGGUUAUUCAGGAAUUUAAACUUUGGGAUAAUGAGCUGCAGUAUGUGGAUCAACUUCUCAAAGAGGAUGUGAGAAAUAGCUCUGUCUGGAACCAAAGAUACUUCGUUAUUUCUAACACUACUGGCUACAAUGAUCAUGCUGUAUUGGAGAGAGAAGUCCAAUACACUCUGGAAAUGAUUCAACUAGUGCCACAUAAUGAAAGUGCAUGGAACUAUUUGAAAGGGAUUUUACAGGAUCAUGGUCUUUCCAAAUAUCCUAAUCUGUUAAAUCAAUUACUUGAUUUCAACCAAGUCAUAGUUCCCCCUACCUAAUUGCCUUUCUUGUGGAUAUCUAUGAAGACAUGCUAGAAAACCAGUGUGACAAUAAGGAAGACAUUCUUAAUAAAGCAUUAGGGUUAUGUGAAAUCCUAGCUAAAGAAAAGGACAUGAUAAGAAAGGCAUAUUGGAGAUAUAUUGGAAGAUCCUUUCAAAGCAAACACAGCAAAGAAAAUGACUCACCAACAAAUGUACAGCAAUAACACCACCCAGAAGAACUUGAUGGAAUGCUUUUAUUUUUUAUUAAGGGACUCUGCAGGAGUUUAAAAUGAGAAGGAUCUUUCCCUUUGCCUGUGGUGUAAAAGUGCAUCACACAGGCAUUGCUUUUUAAUAAGAACUGAUGCUCCUUGGGUG